rnacentral:rRNA from 1 species
CGGUGGAGCAUGUGGUUAAUUCGAAGCAACGCGAAGAACCUUACCAGGCCUUGACAUGCAGAGAACUUUCCAGAGAUGGAUGGUGCCUUCGGGAACUCUGACACAGGUGCUGCAUGGCUGUCGUCAGCUCGUGUCGUGAGAUGUUGGGUUAAGUCCCGUAACGAGCGCAACCCUUGUCCUUAGUUACCAGCACGUUAUGGUGGGCACUCUAAGGAGACUGCCGGUGACAAACCGGAGGAAGGUGGAGAUGACGUCAAGUCAUCAUGGCCCUUACGGCCUGGGCUACACACGUGCUACAAUGGUCGGUACAAAGGGUUGCCAAGCCGCGAGGUGGAGCUAAUCCCAUAAAACCGAUCGUAGUCCGGAUCGCAGUCUGCGACUCGACUGCGUGAAGUCGGAAUCGCUAGUAAUCGUGAAUCAGAAUGUCACGGUGAAUACGUUCCCGGGCCUU